CCCCCCCGCGCCUUACUCGAUGAAGAACACCCGGCCGUCCCUGCAGACGCCAUAGGACCAGUGCUCAGGCUGAGGCAUUAGUCAGUCCAGGCCUUUGAUGUAGAGGACAAGAGGAUGAUGGAGAUUAAUUGCUCUCUUGCCCGCAACCUGUGGCUAUACUGAAAAGAUGCUGAAAGUGAAAAACUCCUAUUCAUCUUGUUCAUACAGGAUCGUUCCCUAUUAUACAGAUUAAUUUUUUUUAUCCCAUUAUUCCUAAUUAUGCCUUCAUGUACCACAGCAUAUAAUUCCUCUCCCUCAAUGAUAACGCUUUUCAAGUAUCGGUAGAAACUUAUGCACCACUACUCCUAGAUCAUCAAUAAACCAAGCUUUUCCUACCCUUUCCUCUUAAAUCAGCAUUACAAACUCCUGAACAUUUUUGUUACUCUUCUUUGAAUUACCACCACUGUCAAUAUCUUUCUAGUGAUGUGGUGCUCAGAAAUGGGUAGAUUCUUGCAGAUGCUUUGCACUGUGAUAAGCUCUAUCCUCUGCAUUUGUUAUUAUUUAAUUAUUUACUUGUUUAGUGUCAACAAUGUGCAUAUAGCUGUAAAAAGCAGAUAAGACAAAUCUCCUGCCAUGAACAGCUUAAUUAACUGUAGUUCCCAGGGCAAGUCCUUUUACAUCCAUUAAUUGCAUGGACUAGUUAAAUUGGCCUGUAGCUCCCUGCCAUGGCAUUGCCUCUAGAUCUGCGUGAGUGGGUGGACUUACGUACUCAUAGUGACCACUAACUGAGUUUAACAAUAACCUUUCAUUGUGUAAACCCCUACUUGGGAUGACCUUGUGACUUGUCUUCAGUAACUUAAUGGAAAAUAUUUUAAAUAAUUCAAAAGAAAUCUAUUCUACACAGCAUUGUUCAACAUUAAAACCUGCUUCUGAUGCUUAAUGUGUAAGCAACUAUAAACUUCUGAAGAUGUUGCAUACUUCUCUCCCCACCAGAGAUAAUGACUUCCCAUUAUUGAUUUGAGAUCUUUAAUCUGCACAUUAAAGUCCCAUUCUUAUCCCAUGGAGCUUAAAUUGUCUUACUGGUAUUGACAUGUUGAAUUACUACUUCUCUUUUACAUCAGGUGGUGAUGAAAGACUUCUGCAUGAUUCAAUUAAUUUACCUUAACUUCAGUUAUAUGCAUUUACACACUUUAAUCUCAGCUGCUUUCGUAUCAAUAUUUUUAAUUAUUGUCCUUUAACCAACAAUAGGCUCUCAAAACCAUACAAAUAUACAGCUUAGUUUUCAUAUAUGUUAAGUAAUAAAAUAAGGGCCUGAUUGAAAGACCAUUGGUGUCCGUAGAGAUUCCCAUUGACUUAAAUGAGCUGUUUAUCAAGAGUCUAGGCUGCAGUUGCAUAAUCUAUAUUUUAACAUAAAGGUUCAUAUACCUUAUAAACAACGAUACAUGACUUUUUUGCAUUAUUAGGAAGUGCUGCAUUGGCACUCAUUUAUUACAGACCUUAUAUAUAAUACUUAAGCAGAAUAUUGUAUUACAUCACAGUAACAGUAGUUAAUGUUAAGUCAUUUAAAAGUGAUUAAAAGUACUCGAAAAUCCACAUGCUGACUCAGAUUGUCUUGAAAUUUUGUGUGGGGGUGCAGAGUAGGGUUAGUGGUCUAAAUUUGGGUUCAUUUGAACAAAAGCCUCCCGAGAUACAGCCCCCCUAACAAAUGCUAUGUGUACAAAAUCACCUAUAUGCAAUUCUAGAUGAUGCAACCUGCUCAUUUUCCCCCAAGGCCAUGCAAAAAAAUAAGUCCAGUUCAGUAAGGGAAAAUUCCCAAGCACGUAGUUAUUACUACAAGUCAGAAAUCCGACACUGACUCCUCAUGUGAAAAGACUGUGUCCUGUCAGGCUAAGGACUGGUAGAAAUAUUAAAAAGUAAUUGGGGAAAUUAAGUAAAUUCCUUCUUCCAAGAUCCCUUCCUGAAGCUAUUGCUCCAAAAAAAGUGGACUAGAGAUUUUAUUCCUGAAAAUGGUGAUUUUUUUUCUUAACCCUUUCUGGCUCAGUAUCACAGAUGAUAAUAUGUAGCACUUGUACAGCCCUUUGACAUCUUUGGAUUCAAAGUAAUUUUAAAAGGUGAAUAAGAAUUACCCCAUUUUACAGAUAGCAAAAGUGAAAUACAGCAAGGAUGGCUUGCCCAAUGUCACAGACAAUGACAUAACUGGGAAUAAAAUCCAUGUCUGACUCAUAGUACAAUGCUCUGUCAGUUGGACCACAGGUGUCCGUGGGAAUAGACAGAAGUAAGUGUGGCAAGAAGUUACCAACAGGUGUAAAAAAAUUAGAUGAGACAACUGUUUGUUCUGACAUUUCACACUGCUGAAGUGUGUGGUCACCCAUUUAUAACUUUGAUGUUGCUGUUGCAUAAAAUAAUGUAUCAAAAAACAUCUGAAGGAAUCACCACAGUGUCACUCAGUAUCAGCAAAUAAUCAACAGUAAUGCCAAGUAAGGGUUGAACAUGAGCAUAUUCUCUCAAAGGCCAUUUUGUACCUUUAACAUAAAUUCAUUUAAUUUUACUAUGUAUUUAAAACAGGCCUACUGUGUGUGAAACACAGAAUGUAAGCUCCAAAGGACAUGGAAAAUAAAGGCAAAUAGAAAGCAAAUUGUGUGCAUGCAUGUGUGUGUGUGUUUGUAUAUAUGAGUCUAUCCUGUUCCCAUUGAAAUAGGUUGGAAGUUUUGCAACUGGCUUCAGUGGGAGCAAGAUUACACCCUAUAAUGCUACAACUAUCUUAAUAUAGCUCAUAAAGUAAACCAGGUCAGUUUAUAGGUAGGGGAAUCCAAAAGUCUGAAGAAAGAAUUAUUCAUUUUUCUGGAUUCUGGAAAGAAUAUGAAUAAGUUUCACUGCUUCCUACAAUUCCUGGAAGGCACUAAGCACAGCAAAUACUGAUUAAGGAUAGGUUUCAGAGUAGCAGCCGUGUUAGUCUGUAUCCGAUGAAGUGAGCUGUAGCUCACGAAAGCUUAUGCUCAAAUACAUUUGUUAGUCUCUAAGGUGCCACAAGUACUCCUUUUCUGUUUAAGAAUAUUAUUCAUGCUCACCAAAUCAACACCCAGUGUGAUCUGAUUGACAGUGCAUACUCAGGUCAAUAGAGAGAUUUUAACAACUGAGUGAGGCAGACGGGAAAAUGCCACAGGGAAAGCAAUGUUUGUGGUGCAAAUCAAAUUCAAACUCCUCCUUCCAGAACAGUUAAGUCUCCUUAGAGUCAAGAAAAAUGCCAAAUACUCUGUUUGGUUUAAAAAAAAAAAAAAAAAAGAUUAUUCACAACAAAAAGGAUUAGAAAGUGUUACUGUUGAAAAUGUCUCUUAAUGAAGUUCAGCGAAUGUUAUCUAUAUAAUUAUACCUUCUUUACAAAACUCCUCCACCUUUUAAAAAAAAUUGGAUAUUAAAAUUUGGAAAUUAAUAUUUAAGAUAUGCAGGUAGUUCCCCACUGCCAUAAAGUUCUUCAUCAUUCACCAUCACUUGUACUGCCCACAACAACUUUAACUUUGUUCUCUAAAAUCUGCAAAACUAUAUUCAUAAAUCAAAAUGAAUUUCGAGUUGAUUUCCUAGUAAAGUAAUUCAGUUCCAAUUUUCUAACAUGUUCAUUACAACAUUAUGGACU